rnacentral:rRNA from 1 species
AGAUUGAACGCUGGCGGCAUGCUUUACACAUGCAAGUCGAACGGUAACAGGCCGCAAGGUGCUGACGAGUGGCGAACGGGUGAGUAAUGUAUCGGAACGUGCCCAGUCGUGGGGGAUAACGCAGCGAAAGCUGCGCUAAUACCGCAUACGAUCUAUGGAUGAAAGCGGGGGACCGUAAGGCCUCGCGCGAUUGGAGCGGCCGAUAUCAGAUUUAGGUAGUUGGUGGGGUAAAGGCUCACCAAGCCAACGAUCUGUAGCUGGUCUGAGAGGACGACCAGCCGCACUGGGACUGAGACACGG